UAAGGUAAACUUGUUAAAUGCAUAAUCGUGCUAUAAUAAAGAUUAAUUUGUAAUAUAUCAGAUAGCACAAUGUCGAGCUCCAUGACGCUUGUGUCUUUUGUUUUAAUUGUUUUUUGCGCGACAGUUACACUUGUUAGGACAGAUGAUGCAGCAAUCAACUGUGACGUCAACUCUUCUCCAACCGUAUGUGUGAGGUACUGUCCCCCUCAAGGCUGCAACUAUACGUCUAAUGGUCGCCCCUGUAUUCCAGGACCAUGCAGGCGUGGCUGUAACUGCCAUGAAGGAUACUGUAAAACAUCGAAUGACGAAUGUGUGCCUGUAAAGUAAUGCCAUAAUAAAGAUCAUUAAUAA